rfam:Populus trichocarpa isolate Nisqually-1 chromosome 14, whole genome shotgun sequence.
UUUGGGAGAUGAUGAGAAAAUUAAUCAGAAGCACAAGCUCUGCUGAAAUUCUAUUUUGCACGUCAGUCUGAUCCCAGA